rnacentral:rRNA from 1 species
AAUGCUGACAUAAGUAACGAUAAAGCGGGUGAAAAGCCCGCUCGCCGGAAGACCAAGGGUUCCUGUCCAACGUUAAUCGGGGCAGGGUGAGUCGACCCCUAAGGCGAGGCCGAAAGGCGUAGUCGAUGGGAAACAGGUUAAUAUUCCUGUACUUGGUGUUACUGCGAAGGGGGGACGGAGAAGGCUAUGUUAGCCGGGCGACGGUUGUCCCGGUUUAAGCAUGUAGGCGGAGGUUCCAGGUAAAUCCGGUACCUUUUUAACGCUGAGGUGUGAUGACGAGGCACUACGGUGCUGAAGUAACAAAUGCCCUGCUUCCAGGAAAAGCCUCUAAGCAUCAGGUAACACGAAAUCGUACCCCAAACCGACACAGGUGGUCAGGUAGAGAAUACCAAGGCGCUUGAGAGAACUCGGGUGAAGGAACUAGGCAAAAUGGUGCCGUAACUUCGGGAGAAGGCACGCUGAUAUGUAGGUGAAGCCCCUGCGGGUGGAGCUGAAAUCAGUCGAAGAUACCAGCUGGCUGCAACUGUUUAUUAAAAACACAGCACUGUGCAAACACGAAAGUGGACGUAUACGGUGUGACGCCUGCCCGGUGCCGGAAGGUUAAUUGAUGGGGUUAGCGGCAACGCGAAGCUCUUGAUCGAAGCCCCGGUAAACGGCGGCCGUAACUAUAACGGUCCUAAGGUAGCGAAAUUCCUUGUCGGGUAAGUUCCGACCUGCACGAAUGGCGUAAUGAUGGCCAGGCUGUCUCCACCCGAGACUCAGUGAAAUUGAACUCGCUGUGAAGAUGCAGUGUACCCGCGGCAAGACGGAAAGACCCCGUGAACCUUUACUAUAGCUUGACACUGAACACUGGUCCUUGAUGUGUAGGAUAGGUGGGAGGCUUUGAAGCGUGGACGCCAGUCUGCGUGGAGCCGACCUUGAAAUACCACCCUUUAAUGGCUGGUGUUCUAACGUAGACCCGUAAUCCGGGUUGCGGACAGUGUCUGGUGGGUAGUUUGACUGGGGCGGUCUCCUCCCAAAGAGUAACGGAGGAGCACGAAGGUUAGCUAAUCCUGGUCGGACAUCAGGAGGUUAGUGCAAUGGCAUAAGCUAGCUUGACUGCGAGAGUGACGGCUCGAGCAGGUGCGAAAGCAGGUCAUAGUGAUCCGGUGGUUCUGAAUGGAAGGGCCAUCGCUCAACGGAUAAAAGGUACUCCGGGGAUAACAGGCUGAUACCGCCCAAGAGUUCAUAUCGACGGCGGUGUUUGGCACCUCGAUGUCGGCUCAUCACAUCCUGGGGCUGAAGUAGGUCCCAAGGGUAUGGCUGUUCGCCAUUUAAAGUGGUACGCGAGCUGGGUUUAGAACGUCGUGAGACAGUUCGGUCCCUAUCUGCCGUGGGCGCUGGAGAAUUGAGGGGGGCUGCUCCUAGUACGAGAGGACCGGAGUGGACGCAUCACUGGUGUUCGGGUUGUCAUGCCAAUGGCACUGCCCGGUAGCUAAAUGCGGAAGAGAUAAGUGCUGAAAGCAUCUAAGCACGAAACUUGCCCCGAGAUGAGUUCUCCCUGAGACUAUAAGUCUCCUGAAGGAACGUUGAAGACGACGACGUUGAUAGGUCGGGUGUGUAAGCGCAGCGAUGCGUUGAGCUAACCGAUACUAAUGAACCGUGAGGCUUAACCUU